rnacentral:rRNA from 1 species
CCUUAACCAAAGAAGCAGCCAGCUUGCUGGAAGCGGAAAAGGGAAAGGCUUAGUGGCGGACGGGUGAGUAACGCGUGGGUAACCUGGCCCAUACAGGGGGAUAACACUUAGAAAUAGGUGCUAAUACCGCAUAACAACAGAAAGCGCAUGCUUUUUGUUUGAAACCCAAGGUGGUAUGGGAUGGACCCGCGUCUGAUUAGCUGGUUGGCGGGGUAAAGGCCCACCAAGGCGACGAUCAGUAGCCGGCCUGAGAGGGUGGACGGCCACAUUGGGACUGAGACACGGCCCAAACUCCUACGGGAGGCAGCAGUGGGGAAUAUUGCACAAUGGGGGAAACCCUGAUGCAGCGACGCCGCGUGAGUGAAGAAGUAAUUCGUUAUGUAAAGCUCUAUCAGCAGGGAAGAAAAUGACGGUACCUGAGUAAGAAGCCCCGGCUAACUACGUGCCAGCAGCCGCGGUAAUACGUAGGGGGCAAGCGUUAUCCGGAUUUACUGGGUGUAAAGGGAGCGUAGACGGCAGUGCAAGUCUGGAGUGAAAGGCGGGGGCUCAACCCCCGGACUGCUCUGGAAACUGUACGGCUGGAGUGCAGGAGAGGUAAGUGGAAUUCCUAGUGUAGCGGUGAAAUGCGUAGAUAUUAGGAGGAACACCAGUGGCGAAGGCGGCUUACUGGACUGUAACUGACGUUGAGGCUCGAAAGCGUGGGGAGCAAACA